CAAAAAAAUCUUCCUCGCCAACCUUCACAAAGGAUGUGGCAGGAGAAGGCAACAACUACGUCGAUGAAGUGCCUGACAUUCCUCUUCAGCAGCCUGGAGAGGAUGGCAGGGAAAUGUUAUUAUGUGCGAGCCUGGUCCAGCAAAAAUCACACAGGACCAUCGCUUUGUGAUGUCCCUUCACAUGACUGGCUGAUGCUUUGCCUUAUCUAGCAGAACUGUCUGUUGCUAUGCAGACAAGGGAUGCAGUGUACACCACAGUGUCAAGCCUCUGGUAAAGGGGACAUGUGCUAUCCUGCAAGGACUGCUGGCAGAGCCUACCAAGCGGAUGUAGAUCAUGUGACCAUCUUGAACAGUCAAGAUCUACAGCCACUUCCUGAUGAACAUUGUGGUGAACCUAGAGGAUCGAUUCCCAGACCUUCCACUCCUCUAGAAGUUUGAGGUCUUCAACACCCGGAAGUUCCCUCAGGACCUGGUAGGAGAGUAUGUCAGGGAUGGUUUGAUGCAAGCUAAGCAGGCCAUAGUUGAUUGAAAAGAUUAUGUCCAGACGUAUGGGAACUGUACAAGAUGGGUUCGUGGAGCAGGGAUACCGUGAUCAUGACAGAGCAGUAGCGGCAUUAGUGACAACAUGGACUCGAAUCUUCCCAGGGAUGAGAGGCCAGGACAGAAAUGGGCUGCAGCCAGUGGCAGGGGCCAGAAGUAAUAGCCAACAUUGUUCGAGGUCUUGUUGCUACAAAGGUAUCUGAUGUUGUGUGUUGGCAGAAAUGCAGAGUGGUACCACCGGUCACCUGAGCCACCUUUCCCCUCACAGACGAGAGACUCGUCUGUCAGUGACAGUAGUUUCCAGAGUAGCACUGAAUUGCAUGAAGCCUUACAAACUUAAGCAGCCAUCCACUGACAGGCUGGAGUGAUUUGGAUUUCCGAUGCCACAUUUACCUUUGUGCUCAGUGACAAGCUGGCGCUUAGCUGCCAUGUCUGAUGAUCCUCAUUGAGUUUAAUGGUGUUUCUACUGGCCUUAUCAUCAAGUCUCUGCAUAUGACUUCUUGCAGUAGCUGAGAUAUCCAUAUAUGUGAGAAGCACAUUUGCCUUUGUUAUUCCAGCAGGCAUUUCCCUAAACCCAGAACCAAGAAACGUGUUUAUUGUGGCUCCCUUGCCAUCUUUGCACUCGCUAUACUGGCGUAAGUUCCGGUGCACCAGGCAGGUCUUCCUCAUUUGGAAUCCACAUCUUCAGCUGAACUGCGGCAAUGAAUAAAAUCAGACUCCUUAGCAGCAUGGGCUUCACAGUCUUGGAUGAGAGCAUGGCUUGGGUAACAGAUGCUGGGAGCCAGUCACAAGAGGAGGAGGUCGGGACACAGAUGCUGGGAGCCAGUCACAAGAGGUGGAGGGCGG